GACGAACGCUGGCGGCGGGCUUAACACAUGCAAGUCGAACGGAAUCCAUGGAGCUUGCUCCGGAAGAUUUAGUGGCGAACGGGUGAGGAACACGUGAGAAACCUGCCCCGAACUUUGGGAUAACAGUUGGAAACGACUGCUAAUACCAAAUACCUCCGCGAUGUGGCAUCACAUUGCGAAGAAAGAAUUUCGGUUCGGGAGGGUCUCGCGGCCUAUCAGCUAGUUGGUGGGGUAAUGGCCUACCAAGGCAUCGACGGGUAGCUGGUCUGAGAGGAUGAUCAGCCACACUGGGACUGAGACACGGCCCAGACUCCUACGGGAGGCAGCAGUGGGAAUCUUGUGCAAUGGGGGCAACCCUGACACAGCCACGCCGCGUGCGGGGAGAAGGCCUUCGGGUCGUAAACCGCUUUCAGCAGGAACGAAAAUGACGGUACCUGCAGAAGAAGGAGCGGCCAACUACGUGCCAGCCGCCGCGGUAA
rnacentral:rRNA from 1 species